UGGGUUGUGGCUAAAUGGUAGAGCACAUACCUUGCAUGUGUGAGGCACUGGGUUUGAUCCUCAGCAUCACAU
rnacentral:tRNA from 1 species